ACUUUUGGUGCUACAUCCCCCCCAAGCCUGUUAAUUUAUGUGCAUAUGGCUUGUUAGUUACUGAAACCAGCAACAAGUGUCUGAGAUGCUAUAUCUUACUUUACUGUGAGCAUAAAUGUCAAGAACAAUGGCAAGCUUUUUCCAACAGAGCCAUUUUCAUGAUUGAGGAAGUACCAGUUAUGCACCACGGUUUUACGGUCCAACUUAUCUCCGAAGUUGUUAAACGUUUCUUCCCUGCAAACAUGGAAUGGUGUCUGUUAAGGGUUAAGAAUUCUAUCGACCCUGUGAAAUUUUCAACUAAUAGCUAUCUGAUGGCCACAAUGAUGGGUAGCCAACACCCCUGAAAAAGUGCAACAUCUACAACUUUCAGUCAUGCUUAUUGCUACUAUAUAAAUUAGGUUGCACAUUUGAACUCCAAUAAGGUAUCUGGACUCUACCCUC